rnacentral:rRNA from 1 species
UACGGGGGGAGCAAGCGUUGUUCGGAUUCAUUGGGCGUAAAGGGCGCGUAGGCGGCCUCUUAAGUCGAACGUGAAAUCCCCGGGCUCAACCCGGGAACUGCGUCCGAUACUGGUGGGCUUGAAUCCGGGAGAGGGAUGCGGAAUUCCAGGUGUAGCGGUGAAAUGCGUAGAUAUCUGGAGGAACACCGGUGGCGAAGGCGGCAUCCUGGACCGGUAUUGACGCUGAGGCGCGAAAGCCAGGGAGCAAACGGG